AGGAUCUGUUCUAUAGGUUCGUACUUCUGUAUCCUUUAGCACAAAGGAGACAGGGACUCAAGUCUGGUGGAUGAAGCAAGACCGUUAGAUCAGAGCGUGAUUAAUGGCUGAACGGUUCUUCGGAGUUGUUUGGUUGUAGAGGAUCGUUCUCAGUCGGGAUAGUGGACUGAGAUGGUCCAACGGUUGUCUGACAGACUUCGAAAGAAA
rnacentral:snoRNA from 1 species